CUUUAAUAUAGUUUAAAAGCUCGUUUUGAAGAGCUCGUUUGAUGUCAGUUGUGAAAUUCUGUACGUUUUGUUUCCAUUCUUAUUCUUUUGUGUCUUUAAAGCAGUACAUCUCCAAAUAACGUUUUUGCGUCCUGACCGCACAUCUCUGUGCUCACUCCUCGAACAUUCAUGCUUCUCGUAGCGUUGAGCAGUGACAGGGUUAUGUUAACCUCUCCGCUUCGCUGGGCACAUGUGUUGCCUUAAAAUCAACACAGCAGCUGCAGACACUGACAUCUGAAACAGUCCUGGCUCUCCUUCCAGCACAGCGUUCCUCUCUGGGCCGCGUGGAUCGCACAGCGUGCCUUGCAAGGAACACGGGCCAGAAGAGCUGGUGCUCAAGGAUGAUGAACUAGCCAGGAAAAUCCAGGCUCUCGGGCUGUUUUCUUCUUGGCCAAUCUUCCCACCUGAAUAGGCGACCUCUGAGAUGGAGCCGUGUGGGAAUGCAUCGGCUUUUGCCUUGGCACGGGAAGGGUGCGUGCCCUGGUCUACAGACACCCAGAGGUCCCCCACAGAGCAGACACCUAAUCCUGGCACAGGGGCUUGAGCCCAGGGAGAUGGUGUGACUCGCACGGAGCCGGGAGCUGAGCACAGGCAGCGUGGCUCCCAGUUUGGCUGGCGAAGUGGUCAUCUGGGAGCCAGCCCCUGGGGUGGUUUUCCUUGGCAUGGAGGGAGCCGCCUGGGCGGCUGGCUGGAUUGAGCGGGCGUUGAUGGGGAGGGUACGUCUGCGGUGGGUUCACUUCAGGCCAGGCUUGGUUUGGGACCAGGUGUGGCUUGACCCAAAUCUGCCAGUUAAGCUAAACAUGAGCACCUGGCUGGGUUUAAAUGCUGCUCCUCGGGGGAGGAGAGCUGGCUAGCCUUGCCUCCUGCCUGGUGAGCUUCUGCUGCCCUGCUGGGGCGCUGGAAGCUUGGAGAAGAGGACCGGGACCUCUAGAUGGGGCUGGGGUUUUGCAGGAGGUGAAUGUUGGGGAGCCUGGUUGAAACUCCUUUGGGUCAGACCCAGGAGAUGAAGCUGUGCUGCUUUCAGGAUCCUGUGGCUGGUGAUGCAGAGGAAAACCAAGCUCAACCAGCUGCUGGAGCCCUACCUCAGGUGGCCAGGCUUCUGGAAGCCCUUUCCCUGACGCAGGGACACGUACCAACAGAUGGCUGUCUUGGAGAACUGAAGCUUUUUGUGGAGCAGCUCUCUGUUUGGUCUCCAAAGGAGCCUGCUGAGAAGACAAUGCGCCCAGAAGGUGCCCGAAGUGCUGGGAGGACGCAGCCACCGGGAAGGUGGUGAAAGAUCAUAAAGCCCAGUGAUGUGGUUGCCCAGUGGAGGUGAAAGCUGCUUACCUGACGUGUCUGGUGAAUAACAAUGAGGAUGAAGUUACACGUUUCGGAAUCGUUUCUGCUGUUCUAGUUGUUUUUCCCAGCCUUUGGAAGUCAGAUGCUCGGAGGUGACUGCCUGGCAUCUGCCCACGUGAGUUGUGAGGUGGAGAAGACUGUGUCCCAGGAGUGUAGUGUUCAGCAGCUCCUUCUGCCCGUGCCGAGCGGAGACCACAACAUGUCUAGUCACGAAGUGACCUGAACCGUGAAGGUAGCUCGCUACCGUGGCUCAUCAUCCUCCAGGCAAGGCGCUCCAGGAUAUUGGAGAAUUAACCUUCGGGAGGCUGAGGUGAUGUCCCUGGAGAGCCCGACUUCGCUCUGCACCUGGCCUGUUUCUUUCUGGGUGCCUUUACGUGGUAUUUUGCAGGUGGUUUUGAAGCGUUGUCCCAACUCGGAGAAGAGGCGGCAGGGCUGGGAGGAUUGCCUGAGGCUAUUUGAUGAGGUAGGGGCAGCCUGGCGUAAAGCUACUCCUGUCCAAGGGAGGCCAUUCAGAUCCUGUACGGACAAGACUGGCUUCUCCCUCAUGCGUGGCUCCUGUUGGCUCCAACUCAUGCUCUCCUUUGGGCUGGCAGAAGGUAUGGCUGAGACCGCUUUCCAGCUUGCUGGGCUGUCCUUGCUGCCCUGACCACGUACCCAGCCCAGGUCCUAGCAAGCCCAGCAGCAACCAGCUGGCUGUAGUGCUCCGAGCCCCUCACAGCUUUGCUUGGGGUGGGAGCCUGGCUGAGCACAUCCUAGCCGCUGUGUGGGGCCAAAACCUUGCCGCUCUUGGCUAGCUUUUUACCUUUCCUUGCUUGUAAUCUCUUCAGGGCGGCGAGCCAAGCAGGCCCAUAGGCACGAUCGAAACAUGGGAUAAAUAUUCCGAGUCGCUUGAUCUAUAGGAACAGGCGCGGUGGGGAGGGAGUGAGUUAAUCUCCUCCGUGCUCUUGGCCGUGGCAGGGCUGUUCCUGUAUUCCCCUGCGUGCCGAGGUGGGGGGAUAAGCUGGUUGCAGGGAGAACGCUCUGUCCCUUCCCUGGAAGAAGAGAUUCAUCCGAACCUUCCUUCUGGGAGUGGUCCUUGGUAGGCAGCUGAAAUUUUCCUUUUCCUCUCAUCCCAUGACUGCUAGGGAAUAUCCAGUGCCUUGCAUUGUCCAGAAUAAUUCCACUGUCCAGAGGAUUCACGUGUCUCAGUAUCUGUAGGCUGGCUGUUUCCUUUCUUGCACUUCUCGGCUGCUUUCUCCCAAGUUGGUGCCUCCAGCCCUUAAUAAUUUAUCUUGCUCUUGGUAGAGCAGGUGGUUGUGGGUUGCCUGGAGGGAUACAGCUAAAACGAAGCAAAAGCCGUCUCUGCUCCUUCCCUGCCUCUGCCCCAGCCCCAACGGCCGUGGCUGUCGUUGUGCCGUGGAACGUGCAGCCCCUCUAAAACACCUCUGGUAACAGAAUGGAAGUGAAGUGGAUCCCCACAACCCUGGUUUCAAAGGUGUCUUAAUUCAGUGUCUCAACCAGUCUGCCGGCUUUCCAGUACUAUCAAUCCCACUUAAAAAAAAAAAAAAAAAAAGCCAUAAAAAAGUACAGAAGCUUAGCAGCAGCAGAAGUUCUAACUACAAUUCUUGCCGUACGUGGUUGCCCAAACAGGUGGGGUGAAAUGGGUGCGAACCCGUGUGCAGCGAGUUGGAUGGAGCGGUGUCAAAGGCAGGUGGUGAAAGGUGACGCGAUACCCUGUCAUGUUCAAGAUGUCUUGGAUUUCUGGCGCAGGCAUGCGAGUAGAAGGGUGAAUGAGAACUAUGUUUGAGGGAGCGGGGUGAGGUGGUGUUUUUGAGACGGGAAGGAUUUCACUUCUGAUGGGAAGUGUUCUGGGCUUCGCUUGCUUUCCUCUGCUGCCUGUUCCCAGCUCAGGCAACUCCUCUGUUCUUCACUGUGCUUGCCCAGAGCUAUCGUAUGUGACUGUUUAAACAGCCGUAAGCCUGUUUAUUUACUAAGGCUAUAAAUUAUCUUGAAAUCAGAAUUCAUCAUUGUGCAAAUACCCUGUUUUAACAGGCAGGCUGGCGCUCUGCUAGAAUGACAAGAGUCAUAGACCUCCCAGCUGAUCUGCCAAGUCUCUGUCAAGGGCAGGUGUCUUUGCACGGGCAACUGCUGCCUUCCAUAGAUCCAGGCAGGCUCAGAGGCUUGAUUAUUUAUUUUUUUUUUCAUUGUGUGUUGUUUCACUGACGUUCGGGAGAACGCAGCGGCCAGUGCAGGUCUCUGAAGGACAAACUGCGUGUUUGUUAUCUUGUGCUUGCUGGGAUUUGCUGGGAGAUAAUGGACUAGACAGAUCAUGAAUCUCCCAGGCAUUAGCAGCAGUUGUCUCCAAAAGAAAGUACGAGAGGCUGAUAUUAAUCAAGGAAUGAGCUUUUCCUAGCUUUUAUCCUCACCCUAGCUAGCAAUAAGUAAGCCUGUUUCUGAAGGACGUGGCUCUUAAACAGCAACAACAGAACCAGCAGCAUCCUGUGCGGUGUUACUGGGGUUGUUUCCUUGACCGUUAGGCUUUCUGAGGGCUCUGACUCUGUAAGUAACUGGAAGAACUUGCCUGAAAACACGGAAACAUCGUGCAUUUGCUAUGUGAAGUGUAAAUCCUUUGUCCUGUAACUCCUCUCUGAAAUGCUGGAGCUCGGAGAUUUAACCAGCCAAGGUUAAAAGCCACCGGGGUGGCUGUCAUAAGCUGGUGGUCCUGUGUUGCCCUGGCCGUUGCGUAGGUUGUAGGGUUUUGCAGAUGUUGAUGUUUUUUCUCUCCUUAGGAGCCCCCCCUCACCUCCAGCUGAGUGCAGCCCUAGCGGUCCAGCGCCCAAAUGCCGUUGGUGAGCUGUGUUGAUCGGGUUGACUCACUCUGGCAGGUUUGGUAGCAACUGUUCAUCAUCCGGCUUACCUGUCCUGCACUGUGUAAGCCAUCGCCUCUGCACAUUUCUGGAACCACAAAAACUGGAGGUGGAAAAGAUCUGAGGUCAUCCAACUUCUCCGUUUUCCCCCUAUGGGGGAAGGCUUGUUCCCUACACCAGAUUUUCCUGUACUGGGUCCAGUUUUAAGUGACUCAAGGAGCAGGGUUUUCAUCGUUUCCCUUGGGAGCCUGGCAGAUUUCUCACCAUGAGAGAUGUUUUCCUAAUCCUCCACCUGACCUGUUCCCCUCCUCGAUUCCAGCUUUGAGUGGACAGUGUGAAGCUGCAGUGGGUUAACGCUCAUCACAUUCCUGGAGUACUGGUUAACUCUUUCUGGGUCACAUCGACGUGUGUCCUGAAUAAAAAGGCUUUUGAAAGGAG